CCUACGGGAGGCAGCAGUGAGGAAUAUUGGUCAAUGGGCGGGAGCCUGAACCAGCCAAGUCGCGUGAGGGAAGACGGUCCUAUGGGUUGUAAACCUCUUUUGGCGGGGAGCAAUGCCGGUCACGUGUGCCCUGAGGGAGAGUACCCGCAGAAUAAGCAUCGGCUAACUCCGUGCCAGCGGCCGCGGUAAUACGGAGGAUGCGAGCGUUAUCCGGAUUUAUUGGGUUUAAAGGGUGCGUAGGCGGAUUUUUAAGUCAGCGGUAAAAUGUCCGGGCUCAACCCGGGCCGGCCAUUGAAACUGGGGAUCUUGAGUGGGCGAGAAGUAUGCGGAAUGCGUGGUGUAGCGGUGAAAUGCAUAGAUAUCACGCAGAACUCCGAUUGCGAAGGCAGCAUACCGGCGCCCGACUGACGCUGAGGCACGAAAGCGUGGGGAUCGAACAGGAUUAGAUACCCUAGUAGUC
rnacentral:rRNA from 1 species